rnacentral:lncRNA from 1 species
AAUUGUACUUGCUAGCACAGCGGAUUCUAUUUCUUCUUAUCCAGCUCCUUCUUCUAACUCUUCUUAUGAUCCUAACUUACCUUAUAUUCUUAUGAUCCUUACUUGAACCCAGCUUUAUUUGUUCACCGCUUAACCUCUUCUUCUAGACAACAUUAUUGUUACAUACCGAUUAAGACAGUAAAGCAGGCCAGGCCAUACCUAGACCCUGAUUCCUUGUAUACCCC